rnacentral:rRNA from 1 species
UGAGGAAUAUUGGUCAAUGGACGAGAGUCUGAACCAGCCAAGUAGCGUGCAGGAAGACGGCCCUAUGGGUUGUAAACUGCUUUUAUAAGGGAAUAAAGUUAGUCUCGUGAGACUUUUUGCAUGUACCUUAUGAAUAAGGACCGGCUAAUUCCGUGCCAGCAGCCGCGGUAAUACGGAAGGUCCGGGCGUUAUCCGGAUUUAUUGGGUUUAAAGGGAGCGUAGGCCGGAGAUUAAGCGUGUUGUGAAAUGUAGACGCUCAACGUCUGCACUGCAGCGCGAACUGGUUUCCUUGAGUACGCACAAAGUGGGCGGAAUUCGUGGUGUAGCGGUGAAAUGCUUAGAUAUCACGAAGAACUCCGAUUGCGAAGGCAGCUCACUGGAGCGCAACUGACGCUGAAGCUCGAAAGUGCGGGUAUCGAACAGGAUUAGAUACCCUGAUAGUCCGCACGGUAAACGAUGGAUGCCCGCUGUUGGUCUGAAUAGGUCAGCGGCCAAGCGAAAGCAUUAAGCAUCCCACCUGGGGAGUACGCCGGCAACGGUGAAACUCAAAGGAAUUGACGGGGGCCCGCACAAGCGGAGGAACAUGUGGUUUAAUUCGAUGAUACGCGAGGAACCUUACCCGGGCUUGAAUUGCAGAGGAAGGAUUUGGAGACAAUGACGCCCUUCGGGGCCUCUGUGAAGGUGCUGCAUGGUUGUCGUCAGCUCGUGCCGUGAGGUGUCGGCUUAAGUGCCAUAACGAGCGCAACCCCUCUCCUUAGUUGCCAUCAGGUUAAGCUGGGCACUCUGGGGACACUGCCACCGUAAGGUGUGAGGAAGGUGGGGAUGACGUCAAAUCAGCACGGCCCUUACGUCCGGGGCUACACACGUGUUACAAUGGCAGGUACAGAGAGACGGUCCCUUGCAAAAUGGAUCAAAUCUUUAAAGCCCGUUUCAGUUUGGACUGGGGUUUGCAACCUGACCCCACGAAGCUGGAUUCGCUAGUAAUCGCGCAUCAGCCAUGGCGCGGUGAAUACGUUCCC